GACGAACGCUGGCGGCGUGCCUAAUACAUGCAAGUAGGACGCAGUUGCGAACGGGUGAGUAACGCGUAGGUAACUACCUGUUAGAGGGGGAUAACUAUUGGAAACGAUAGCUAAUACCGCAUACUCGUAGAUGGACCUGCGUUGUGUUAGCUAGUAGGAGGGGUAAUGGCCUACCUAGGCAACGAUACAUAGCCUAGCUGGGAGGGGUAUCGGCCAAACUGGGACCUGGAAACGGCCCAGACUCCUACGGGAGGCAGCCGUAGGGAAUCUUCGGAAAGGGGGGGAACCCUGACCGAGCCACGCCGCGUGAGUGAAGAAGGUUUUCGGAUCGUAAAGCUCUGUUGUUAAGGAAGCGGUACUUAACCAGAAAGGGACGGCUAACUACGUGCCAGCAGCCGCGGUAAUUC
rnacentral:rRNA from 1 species